rnacentral:rRNA from 1 species
GACAGAGGCCCCAAGCGUUAGGCGGAAUCACUGGGCUUAAAGCGUGUGUAGGCGGACGCCUAAGUGUCUUGUGAAAUCCCACGGCUCACCCGUGGAACUGCUGGGCAUACUGGGCGUCUUGGGCCAACUAGGGGCAGCCGGAACAAGCGGUGGAGCGGUGAAAUGCGUAGAUAUCGUCUGGAACGCCAAAGGUGAAAACAGUCUGCUGGGGGUGUGCCGACGCUGAGACACGAAAGCCAGGGGAGCGAACGGG